UACGUAGGGUGCAAGCGUUAUUCGGAAUUACUGGGCGUAAAGCGUGCGCAGGCGGUUUUGUAAGACUGUCGUGAAAUCCCCGGGCUUAACCUGGGAAUUGCGAUGGUGACUGCAAGGCUAGAGUUUGGCAGAGGGGGGUAGAAUUCCACGUGUAGCAGUGAAAUGCGUAGAGAUGUGGAGGAACACCGAUGGCGAAGGCAGCCCCCUGGGUCAAAACUGACGCUCAUGCACGAAAGCGUGGGGAGCAAACAGG
rnacentral:rRNA from 1 species